rnacentral:tRNA from 1 species
ACCCGGGUGGCUCAGUUGGUUAAGUGUCCGACUUCGGCUCAGGUCACGAUCUCACGGUUUGUGGGUUCUGGUCCCACCUCGGGCU